UACGUAGGUGGCAAGCGUUGUCCGGAUUUACUGGGCGUAAAGAGCGCGCAGGCGGUCGUUCAAGUCGCGUGUGAAAGCCCCCGGCUCAACUGGGGAGGGUCACGCGAUACUGAUCGACUCGAAGGCAGGAGAGGGUAGUGGAAUUCCCGGUGUAGUGGUGAAAUGCGUAGAUAUCAGGAGGAACACCGAUGGCGAAGGCAGGUCUCUGGGCCACUACUGACGCUGAGGAGCGAAAGCGUGGGUAGCAAACAGG
rnacentral:rRNA from 1 species